rnacentral:rRNA from 1 species
GACGAACGCUGGCGGCGUGCUUAACACAUGCAAGUCGAGCGGUAAGGCCCUUUCGGGGUACGACGAGCGGCGAACGGGUGAGUAACACGUGGGUGGACCUCGCCCUCCAGCUCUGGGAGUAAGCCUGGGAAACGUAGGGUCGUAAUACCGGAUAUGACUCCAUGACGCAUGUUGUGGGGUGGAAAGCCUUGUGCGGCUGAGGAUGGGCCCGGCGGCCUAUCAGCUUGUUGGUGGGGUGAGGCCUACCAAGGCGACGACGGGUAGCCGGCCUGAGGGGCGACCGGCCACACUGGGACUGAGACACGGCCCAGACUCCGUACGGGAGGCAGCAGGUGGGGAAUCUUGCGACAAUGGGCGAAAGCCUGACGCAGCGACGCCGCGUG